UACAGAGGGGGCAAGCGUUGUUCGGAAUUACUGGGCGUAAAGGGCGCGUAGGCGGCCUGUUAAGUCGAACGUGAAAUCCCCGGGCUCAACCCGGGAACUGCGUCCGAUACUGGCAGGCUUGAAUCCGGGAGAGGGAUGCGGAAUUCCAGGUGUAGCGGUGAAAUGCGUAGAUAUCUGGAGGAACACCGGUGGCGAAGGCGGCGAUCCUGGACCGGCA
rnacentral:rRNA from 1 species